AGCUUGUAUAAGAGCUGUCAGUGUAAUGAUUGGCUGUCAUGUUCUGUAGCUGCAGCUGAAACUUCUUUUCCAUUCGCACUCAGACUGCACUUUCCCUCCAAUUCUGGAGUAUGAUUGAGAGUAACCAAAUGACGCUGCAGUUUGCCUUACGUGUUUUUUUCGCGCAAGUCGAUUUUAGAGUCAGUCAGGUAUUGUGUGAGCGGAAGAGAAGGUUCGAAUAAAGAUUAUUGGGCAGCAUUUGGAGCCUAGAUUCAUGGCUAUGAAUGAUGAUCCUGUGGAAAAGGUGACUGAAGUAUAAUAAGUUAAACGGAAAGAAAAUUAAUGGCCAUAAGUAUUGCAGUACAAGCAGGGCUUGUAUCAUCAAAAUGUUCUAACAGUUUCGAUUUUUUCAAUGUGACGGAUCUCUGGAAGAUUCCUGCUGCUAGAACAGGGAUAGCUUUUAGAGAGGGGGAGGGGGGUCAUGGUCAAGGAACUAUUUAUAGUGUGGACAAGAGUGGUAUUCUGAGAGAUUUAAGUGUGCAUGGGUCAGCUCUAAUCGCAUGAGCUAACGUCAACACAUGAUAAGAGCAGUUUUUUCACUGUUGUAUAUACAUCAGUUGAUUGAGGUAAACCUGUUGCCAAGGAGAAAUGAGCAAUUCUCGUCAUCAUCAACACUUAAAGAAGGAAUAAAUAUAAGGUCACGAAGUAGAAUUUGAGUGAAGUACCUAUUCUUAGUAUCUAAAUAGAUUGUUGCCUGGCAUUUCGAUGGCGGAAGUGGGAAACUUCAUACCUCCGCAUUGACAUGUUUGAACUUUCCACUUGUAAUUUGUUUUUUCAAAGAGAAACAAGACAACCUUAUGUUAAAGAUACGGAAACUCUUGAAUUUAUCAGGAAUGAGAAUUGUCGUACUGAAUUAUGUCCUCUUAUUUCUCAACAGGGAUACUGGAGGGCUCUUGGUGCACUAGAAACAUCAGAGGCCAUGGCCAAACUGGAGCCAAAGGCUCCAUUGUUCCAGAUAUCAAUCCUGCUCUCGGAACAUAUUCCCAGCAGCGCGAUUUUGGAUUUCUUUGCAACCUCGUCGACGCACCCGACCACAAGACCGCCCCCUCCGCCUCCUCAAGAAGAACGUCCGGUGGCUGCGCCACAGCCACAGCAAGGUGGAGCACGGCAACAAUAUUACAGCGGGUCGAUUGUUGAAUC
rnacentral:lncRNA from 1 species